CAGCAGUCCAUUUCAAGCCUCAACUGGAGGGUCGUCAAAUUUUCCCAGGGUGCUCGAGCACGACUCGUCACAGAGUUCCUGUUCGGGGACACCUAUACUGACCGCAAAGAGGCGGAGGCGUGGCGGUGAAGACAUAGUGAACUGCAUCAGGGACAACAUGGAUUCUCU